rnacentral:tRNA from 1 species
GGGCCCGUGGUUCCAAUGGGAAGACGCAGCCCUUGCAAGGCUGAGAUUGCCGGUUCGAUUCCGGCCGGGUCCA